UGGGUAUUGGUGGAGGAAUCUAACCACAAGGCCUCUGAGUUGGGUAUUGGUGGAGGAAUCUAACCACAAGGCCUCUGAGUUGGGUAUUGGUGGAGGAAUCUAACCACAAGGCCUCUGAGUUGGGUAUUGGUGGAGGAAUCUAGGUGAGUUAGUUGAGGGUCAAACACGUGGAACGGCUGGGGAUCAGGUGAGUUAGUUGAGGGCUACAACACGUGGAACGGCUGGGGAUCAGGUGAGUUAGUUGAGGGCUACAACACGUGGAACGGCUGGGGAUCAGGUGAGUUAGUUGAGGGCUACAACACGUGGAACGGCUGGGGAUCAGGUGAGUUAGUUGAGGGCUACAACACGUGGAACGGCUGGGGAUCAGGUGAGUUAGUUGAGGGCUACAACACGUGGAACGGCUGGGGAUCAGGUGAGUUAGUUGAGGGCUACAACACGUGGAACGGCUGGGGAUCAGGUGAGUUAGUUGAGGGCUACAACACGUGGAACGGCUGGGGAUCAGGUGAGUUAGUUGAGGGCUACAACACGUGGAACGGCUGGGGAUCAGGUGAGUUAGUUGAGGGCUACAACACGUGGAACGGCUGGGGGUCAGGUGAGUUAGUUGAGGGCUACAACACGUGGAACGGCUGGGGAUCAGGUGAGUUAGUUGAGGGCUACAACACGUGGAACGGCUGGGGAUCAGGUGAGUUAGUUGAGGGCUACAACACAAUUGCAAAAUGUCUGUGGGGGGUAAAGAGGACAGGUUUGAAAACCACUGGCCUAAUUUCUCUCUCAACAUCACUGAUUGGCCGGAAAGUCCUGCUGUCCAAAAAAACG